rnacentral:misc_RNA from 1 species
GAAAUGCGAUAAGUAGUGUGAAUUGCAGAAUUCAGUGAAUCAUCGAAUCUUUGAACGCACAUUGCGCCCUUUGGUAUUCCAAAGGGCAUGCCUGUUCGAGCGUCAUUUGUACCCUCAAGCUUUGCUUGGUGUUGGGCGUCUUGUCUCUAGCUUUGCUGGAGACUCGCCUUAAAGUAAUUGGCAGCCGGCCUACUGGUUUCGGAGCGCAGCACAAGUCGCACUCUCUAUCAGCAAAGGUCUAGCAUCCAUUAAGCCUUUUUACAACUUUUGACCUCGGAUCAGGUAGGGAUACCCGCUGAACUUAAGC